AGAUCUGGUUGACAACCUUU
rnacentral:snRNA from 1 species